GACGAACGCUGGCGGCGUGCUUAACACAUGCAAGUCGAACGGUAAGGCUCCAGCUUGCUGGGGUACACGAGUGGCGAACGGGUGAGUAACACGUGGGUGACCUGCCCUGCACUUCGGGAUAAGCCUGGGAAACUGGGUCUAAUACCGGAUAGGACCGCACCGUGAGGGUGUGGUGGAAAGUUUUUUCGGUGUGGGAUGGGCCCGCGGCCUAUCAGCUUGUUGGUGGGGUAAUGGCCUACCAAGGCGGCGACGGGUAGCCGGCCUGAGAGGGUGGACGGCCACAUUGGGACUGAGACACGGCCCAGACUCCUACGGGAGGCAGCAGUGGGGAAUAUUGCACAAUGGGCGGAAGCCUGAUGCAGCGACGCCGCGUGGGGGAUGACGGCCUUCGGGUUGUAAACUCCUUUCACCAUCGACGAAGGGUUUCUGACGGUAGAUGGAGAAGAAGCACCGGCUAACUACGUGCCAGCAGCCGCGGUAGUACGUAGGGUGCGAGCGUUGUCCGGAAUUACUGGGCGUAAAGAGCUCGUAGGUGGUUUGUCGCGUCGUCUGUGAAAUUCCGGGGCUUAACUCCGGGCGUGCAGGCGAUACGGGCAUAACUUGAGUACUGUAGGGGAGACUGGAAUUCCUGGGUGUAGCGGUGAAAUGCGCAGAUAUCAGGAGGAACACCGGUGGCGAAGGCGGGUCUCUGGGCAGUAACUGACGCUGAGGAGCGAAAGCAUGGGGAGCGAACAGGAUUAGAUACCCUGGUAGUCCAUGCCGUAAACGGUGGGCGCUAGGUGCGGGUUUCCUUCCACGGGAUCCGUGCCGUAGCUAACGCAUUAAGCGCCCCGCCUGGGGAGUACGGCCGCAAGGCUAAAACUCAAAGGAAUUGACGGGGGCCCGCACAAGCGGCGGAGCAUGUGGAUUAAUUCGAUGCAACGCGAAGAACCUUACCUGGGCUUGACAUAUACAGGAUCGCGCCAGAGAUGGUGUUUCCCUUGUGGCUUGUAUACAGGUGGUGCAUGGUUGUCGUCAGCUCGUGUCGUGAGAUGUUGGGUUAAGUCCCGCAACGAGCGCAACCCUUGUCUUAUGUUGCCAGCACGUUGUGGUGGGGACUCGUAAGAAACUGCCGGGGUUAACUCGGAGGAAGGUGGGGAUGACGUCAAAUCAUCAUGCCCCUUAUGUCCAGGGCUUCACACAUGCUACAAUGGUCGGUACAGUGGGUUGCCAGUCCGUGAGGGCGAGCUAAUCCCGCAAAGCCGGUCUCAGUUCGGAUCGGGGUCUGCAACUCGACCCCGUGAAGUCGGAGUCGCUAGUAAUCGCAGAUCAGCAACGCUGCGGUGAAUACGUUCCCGGGCCU
rnacentral:rRNA from 1 species